CGCCCGGCUACCUUAAUAAUUUUACUUCAUUCCGAAGAUAUAGUAUUAUUACAACAAGAUGAGGUUCUACUUGGUGUUCUUACUUAUAAUUCUAAUUGCCAUCUUGGAAUUCGCGUCAGCUGAUUGUGACAACAAGCGAUGCCAACAACGAUGCAUGAGCGAAGAGCGUGGAAACGGCAAGUGUAUGAAGCAACAGGAGAGCGACUUUUUCGCGCUUUGCAAGUGCGAUAAGAAGAGAAAGAAAAGUGGAUGAGCGAGGAUCAGUCGUCAAGAAAUCUGGAUAAAUUAAAUAAAUAUUUGUAAUUAAGUGCA